rnacentral:rRNA from 1 species
GACGAACGCUGGCGGCGUGCCUAAUACAUGCAAGUCGAACGCUUUUUCUUUCACCGGGGCUUGCUCCAUCGAAAGAAAAAGAGUGGCGAACGGGUGAGUAACACGUGGGUAACCUGCCCAUCAGAAGGGGAUAACACUUGGAAACAGGUGCUAAUACCGUAUAACACUAUUUUCCGCAUGGAAGAAAGUUGAAAGGCGCUUUUGCGUCACUGAUGGAUGGACCCGCGGUGCAUUAGCUAGUUGGUGAGGUAACGGCUCACCAAGGCAACGAUGCAUAGCCGACCUGAGAGGGUGAUCGGCCACACUGGGACUGAGACACGGCCCAGACUCCUACGGGAGGCAGCAGUAGGGAAUCCUCGGCAAUGGACGAAAGUCUGACCGAGCAACGCCGCGUGAGUGAAGAAGGUUUUCGGAUCGUAAAACUCCGUUGUUGGAGAAGAACAAGGAUGAGAGUAGAACGUUCAUCCCUUGACGGUAUCUAACCAGAAAGCCACGGCUAACUACGUGCCAGCCGCCGCUGUAA